rnacentral:rRNA from 1 species
GACGAACGCUGGCGGCGUGCCUAACACAUGCAAGUCGAGCGAAUGAAGUUCCUUCGGGAACGGAUUUAGCGGCGGACGGGUGAGUAACACGUGGGCAACCUGCCUCAUAGAGGGGAAUAGCCUUCCGAAAGGGAGAUUAAUACCGCAUAAGAUUGUAGUACCGCAUGGUACAGCAAUUAAAGGAGCAAUCCGCUAUGAGAUGGGCCCGCGGCGCAUUAGCUAGUUGGUGAGGUAACGGCUCACCAAGGCGACGAUGCGUAGCCGACCUGAGGGGGUGAUCGGCCACAUUGGGACUGAGACACGGCCCAGACGCCUACGGGAGGCAGCAGUGGGGAAUAUUGCACAAUGGGGGAAACCCUGAUGCAGCAACGCCGCGUGAGUGAUGACGGCCUUCGGGUUGUAAAGCUCUGUCUUCAGGGACGAUAAUGACGGUACCUGAGGAGGAAGCCACGGCUAACUACGUGCCAGCCGCCGCCGUAAUAC